UGGGGAAUAUUGGACAAUGGGCGCAAGCCUGAUCCAGCAACGCCGCGUGGAGGACGAAGGUCUUCGGAUCGUAAACUCCUGUCAGGUGGGACGAAGGGGCGGCGGCAAAUAGCUGUCGUCUUUGACGGUACCACCAGAGGAAGCCCCGGCUAACUCCGUGCCAGCAGCCGCGGUAAUACGGAGGGGGCGAGCGUUAUUCGGAAUUAUUGGGCGUAAAGGGCGCGUAGGCGGCUUUGUAAGUCAAAGGUGAAAUCCCUCGGCUCAACUGAGGAACUGCCUUUGAAACUGCAAGGCUUGAGGCCGGGAGGGGGUAGCGGAAUUCCCAAUGUAGCGGUGAAAUGCGUAGAUAUUGGGAGGAACACCAGUGGCGAAGGCGGCUACCUGGACCGGUUCUGACGCUGAGGCGCGAAAGCGUGGGUAGCAAACAG
rnacentral:rRNA from 1 species